GGGGAAAUAACUUAGUGGUUUAUAGCGCUGGUUAGUAAAGCCAGAAGUCACGGAUUCAUAUCCAGUUUUUCCCA
rnacentral:tRNA from 1 species